UUAUUUAACUGACAUGUCCUUCUGUCUCACCUGCCCCCGUCCCCUCCAUGGUGUGUGUGUGUGUGUGUUGCUUUUCUGGCCAGAGAUGAAUAUCCCAGCCUGCUGAGCAACAUUGUUGGCUUCCUCUUGUCCUGCAAAGUCUCGCGUGCAGGCUUGCUUGGUGCGAAUUUAAUUAACUCCUUAAAGGUAGAUGGAAUCUUCUUUGAAGUUGUGCAAUCUAAUAGUCCACCCAGC
rnacentral:lncRNA from 1 species